GCAGGUGUAGUGUAGCUGGUAACAUGCUUCCUUCCCAAGGAAGAGAACGAGGGUUCAAAUCCCUUCACCUGCU
rnacentral:tRNA from 1 species